CCGUNGGUAGUGGGGACAACGUUUCGAAAGGAACGCUAAUACCGCAUACGUCCUACGGGAGAAAGCAGGGGACCUUCGGGCCUUGCGCUAUCAGAUGAGCCUAGGUCGGAUUAGCUAGUUGGUGAGGUAAUGGCUCACCAAGGCGACGAUCCGUAACUGGUCUGAGAGGAUGAUCAGUCACACUGGAACUGAGACACGGUCCAGACUCCUACGGGAGGCAGCAGUC
rnacentral:rRNA from 1 species